rnacentral:rRNA from 1 species
GUGCUUACAAACAGUCGGAGCUUCGACCUUGCCUUCGGGCAUGGAAGGAGGUGACGGCGUGCCUUUUGCAUAAUGAGCCGGCGAGUUACUGGUACGUGGCAAGGUUAAGUCGCUCAGCGACGAAGCCGCAGCGAAAGCGAGUCCGAACAGGGCGUUGAGUCACGUGCCGUAGACCCGAAGCCAGGUGAUCUAUCCAUGGCCAGGUUGAAACCCCGGUAAGACGGGGUGGAGGACCGAACGGCAAAGUGUUGAAAAACUUUCCGAUGAGCUGUGGAUAGGGGUGAAAGGCUAAUCAAACCUGGAGAUAGCUGGUUCUCCCCGAAAUGCCUUUAGGGGCAGCCUCGCGUUAAGCUGUACGGGGGUAGAGCACUGGAUGGGCACGGGGUCCUACAAGACUACCAACCCCAACCAAACUCCGAAUACCGUUCAUGUGUUUCGCGGGAGUGAGGCUGCGAGGGAUAAGCUUCGUAGCCGUGAGGGAAACAACCCAGACCAUCAGCUAAGGCCCCAAAGUCAAUGCUAAGUGGCUAAGGAUGUGGGAUCGUUUUGACAGCCAGGAUGUUGGCUUAGAAGCAGCCAUACAUUUAAAGAGUGCGUAAUUGCUCACUGGUCUACAUGGCCCCGCGCCGAUAAUACUUGGGACUAAGCAUUGCGCCGAAGCUAUGGGAUGCUCGCAAGAGCAUCGGUAGGGGAGCGUUCUGUGCUGGGCGAAGGUAUCCCGUGAGGGGUGCUGGACGGCACAGAAGUGAUCAUGCCGGCAUGAGUAGCGAUAACGCAAGUGAGAACCUUGCGCACCGAAAGUCUAAGGUUUCCCGGGGAAGGCCAGUCCGCCCGGGGUUAGUCGGUCCCUAAGCCGAGGCCGAGAGGCGUAGGCGAUGGAAAGCAGGUAAAAUAUUCCUGCACUUGGAAACGGGCGACAAAGAAUCGUGAGGGGGGACGCAGAGGUGAAAGGUCAGCCACCGAUUGGAAAUGGUGGUCGAAGCCUGUAGGAGGACCGGGUAGGCAAAUCCGUCCGGUCUUAACUCUGAAGGGUGAUAGGGAAGUGAGCCUUCGGGCAAGCCAACUGACCCUAAACGUGCUGCCAAGAAAAGCCUCGCACGAGAGUUCGUUUUCAAACCGUACCGCAAACCGACACAGGUAGACGGGGAGAGAAUCCUAAGGUGCACGAGUGAUGCGCGGUCAAGGAACUCGGCCAAUUGUCUCCGUAACUUCGGGAGAAGGAGAGCCUGCGCAAGCAGGCCGCAGAGAAUCGGCCCUGGCGACUGUUUACCAAAAACACAGGUCUCUGCGAACACGUAAGUGGACGUAUAGGGACUGACACCUGCCCGGUGCUGGGAUGUUAAGGGGUGGUGUUAGCGCAAGCGAAGCACUAAACCGAAGCACCAGUAAACGGCGGCCGUAACUAUAACGGUCCUAAGGUAGCGAAAUUCCUUGUC